rnacentral:lncRNA from 1 species
CAGGAACACAAGGAAGUUGAUCACAGGAGGCGUGAGGGAAUUUCUAGGGAAAAGAAAACAAACGUCAACACGCCACACUCUGGAGAUUUGAAGUACUGAAGCUUCAGGACUCAGUAUUCAGUUCCCACCGGAGAACUGGCUGUAUCACAUUGCAGUGACUCAUCCAGUGUCUGCCUUCCGCCUAUGGUCUGGUCUUCUUGAGGGCAGGGAAAAACCUCUUCUUAACCAUCUCUGCAGGCUCAUAAAGUCUUGGGAGAAUUAUACUGACUCGAUCAUUGUGGGUUGAUGAACUCAGCAAGUAUUUGAGAAGGUUGAUAUUCAAAAUAUCUAACAGGAAAAUAUGAUACAAAAUAAUUCUUCUAUGAAAUUCUAUUUCUGUGAACAGCAAUGAGUCUUCAUACUGGUAACUUGUAAGAUAUAUCAACUUCUGCUUUUCCUGCCACUGAUUUUGGCCUCAAAUCCUUUUCUGUGGCCUCAGUUGCCUUUCUAUAGGAAGAAAAGACAGUAUAGGUACAUUAUGUCAUCAUGGUGUUUUGUUUACUCAAACCUAAUUCCAUGGAGUCUUUGCCCUCAGGCUAGACACUUCGACAAGCCAGCUACCAGCUGUGACUAAAUCUAGCCAUUCCUCUUGACCUUUCUCAUUAGAGGCCAAGAGCAGAAAAGAACGUUCUCUCUCCCACAUCCAAGGAUCACUUUAUUUUAUGCCCAGGGUGAUUGACAUAUCAUUCAGGAGAAACCAUAAUGGAUACAUUACCAAUUUUAAUUAAUUCACUAGGCAUAUAAAUAAGUGAGUUCAAGGUCUUAUACCUUUGAAACAUUUUUCAACAAAUAAUUUUAAAAAUUAUUAAAAAUUUUUUCGAAGGGCCCUAUGUCUCAACUUUUAGUUCAUACAAUAUGAUAUUUUUAAUUCAGGCCAUUCACAAGUAUUGUUAUUAUUUUAUUUGCUGUAUGCUUAUUUAUUUCUGUGCCCACCCUCAAUCAAAUGUGAACUUCAUGAGGCCAGAGACCUAUCAGAGACCUCCUGACCUACGCAGUAGACCCGUCCUCUAUUGUAUACUCAAGCCUAGCACAGUGCCAGACACCUAAAAUGUGCUCAACAUCUGUCAAGUGUACAGAAUUACCUCCAGUCUUUAUAACAAUCUUAAAAGUUGGGUAGUAUUAUCUUUUGUUUUCAGAGGGGACAAUCGAGCUUCAGAGAAAGGACAUCUCUAAGGUAGUGAAACUGAGAUAUUAUUUUAAAUCUUGCAUUGUUUUCUUAUCCUGGUGUACAUGGUUAAUAAUGUUGCAUCACUCUCACCAUCAAAGCUUGGUGAAUAAUCAGUGAUUGCAAUUUUCUCUAUCUCUGGUUGGUUUUUCCACAGUGAUUAGCCAUACAACCUUUUAGGAAAAAAAGCAUGCUUACUUCUCUAGGGUGCAAGUCUUCAGGGAUCAGAGAGGAAAUCUCAAGCAACAGGUAGAUGGUGGAAGAUAUGAACAAGAAAAAUUAAAAUAAGAAAUAUUGGAAGAAAAAAUAGGACACCAUCAGAAUAUGUAGGAUAAAUGACUAUGGAUACCUCACUAGCAGAAAGAUAUGCAAUUCCCUGACAUUUAUAGCUAAUUUCCCUUGAUUUUUAGGAGAGUCUCUAGAAAGAGAUUCUGGGUAUACAUUCUCAUAGUGUUUUAGUCACAGACAAGAACGAUCUUUAAGAAGAGGAUGUUAUGUAUUAGACCACAUUCCAAAUGGAGGUCUGUUAGGAAAACAAAAUUAGGAGACACGUCUUCCAUUCAAAUUUAUCAAGACUAUUGGUACAGCUCUGCCUUGAUCACUGGAACUCUACACUGAAAGCAGGAGCUUUUUCCAGUGUGCCCUCUGGAAUAUAUACUGUUUGUUAUAUGAUUUUAGAGGCACCCUUUUUGAUGCUUCAAUUUUUACAGCAGCAAAAGCAAGCCUAGAUAUAAAGAAAUCUGCUGAAUAUGAAUAAACCUUGCUAUAGACAUUAGGUCUAUGCCUAUUAAGAUCCUAAAACUUCAACAAAUUGAAAGCAGAUUGUCUAUGAACCAAGUAAUAUGAUGAUGCCAAAGUGUGGAAUUUUCUGAAAAAAAAAAAAUAGACCAGCUUUUUCUUGUAACUGCUUAAUUUCAAGCCAAAAUGCAGAUGAUAUAGAUAGGUUGGCACAUUUGCUCAAAAUGUUAAAGAAAUUUUGGUAUGUCUGGCUGAAAGCUGACUACAUCACCAUUCAGCCGUUCUCCUGAAAGACACUUAGGUUUUAUGGUCUUUUGGGUCUAAAAUUAUUUGAUCUUGUGAUUUGGGUUCAUAUACUUAGUGGAAAAGCUUUCACUGAGUUCAAAAAGGAAAUCAAAUCUGGUCGAUGCCAAAAGAAAAUGCAAGGUGAUGACUAAUGACACUUCCAUUCUCCUUUUCUCUGCUCUGGCCAAGAACAUCAACUCCUGAUUUCAUCAUGGAUGGUGUAGCCAGGAAGGUUGGAUUUGAAUGCUUGUCCUCAUGGAAGUGAGAUAAAAAAAAUAUGGAUAUCCUUGACUACAUGGACGACUUAAACACACGAUGGGAAUACAUUCAUACCCACCCAUCAUCUCCCUGGCAAGAUGAGUUCUCCAGAGUUGCGUUGGAUCGGAAGGCAACUUAGACAUAAACAGUGAAAGGAGUAAUUCCAAGGGCCUGCACACUUAAAAUAAAAUUCAUCUUUGUGGAUGUGA